rnacentral:misc_RNA from 1 species
UAAAACGAUAUGUGGCCCGCGCGGAGGCUAUAAAAUUGGAUCACUGCUAGCAUCAGCUAAAAAUGUGCAGAUACGUUACUAACACUAGAAUGCAACCCCAGCACUUGGGCACAUGUUGUGCCAACUCAGCGUGAAAUAUAUAUAAAGCUCGUAUCAUCAUCUCAAAGAAAAUGCAUAGAACAUUUAUUAGUGCUUAUUCAACACCGAGGAAAGAGACAAAAACAAACAAAACAAAAAUUGAUAAGAAGAAAACUAUAAUUGUGUCUAGUCUUAAUGAAAUGACGAUGCAGCGCCCUAUACAGUUUUCAGACUUAAGGACCGAAGUAGGGGAGUUUGAGAGAAAGUAGUAGGGGAAAGAGAAGUAGUAGUCGUAGGAGGGGGGGGAGGUGAGGGAAGGAGGAGGAAGAGGAGUACGGGCGAAGUUAUCCAAUUAUUGUCUAACCUGGGAGCAACUUUACCGGGUAAGCUUGAGAGUGAGGAGGAAAGCUGUAGCAGUAGCAGCAGCAGCAACCAGUAAGUGAAGGUUUGGUGUUGGACGAAGCGAGAGCUAUACAUAGAAAGUUGGCGAGGGUAAAACUCACCCCCCUGUACAAUCGAGGCACGAUAAAGUAAAGUUUGUUUCAAAACUCGACGCAGGGGUGCCCUUCUCCGACUGUUAUUGGUGAAACGUGAGAUUUAAAUUAUCCUUAAAUCUGGACCACUGUCGGGGGAGGCAAAGGGGGUACGAGG